rnacentral:rRNA from 1 species
UACAGAGGUCUCAAGCGUUGUUCGGAUUCAUUGGGCGUAAAGGGUGCGUAGGUGGCUCCGUAAGUCAGGUGUGAAAUUUCGGAGCUUAACUCCGAAACUGCAUUUGAUACUGCGGUGCUUGAGGACUGGAGAGGAGACUGGAAUUCACGGUGUAGCAGUGAAAUGCGUAGAUAUCGUGAGGAAGACCAGUGGCGAAGGCGGGUCUCUGGACAGUUCCUGACACUGAGGCACGAAGGCCAGGGGAGCAAACGGG